rnacentral:rRNA from 2 species
UUCGCAAUGCCCGAAAGGGUGACGAAGCGACGCCGCGUGCGGGAAGAAGGCCUUCGGGUUGUAAACCGCUGUCGGGAGUUAAGAAAUGUAAGGAUGUUAAUAGCGUCUUUACUUGACUAAGGCUCCGGAGGAAGCCACGGCUAACUCUGUGCCAGCAGCCGCGGUAAUACAGAGGCGGCAAGCGUUGUUCGGAAUUAUUGGGCGUAAAGAGCACGUAGGCGGCUAUGUAAGUCGGUUGUGAAAGCCUUCCGCUCAACGGGAGAACAGCAUCCGAUACUGCAUGGCUUGAGUGUGGGAGGGGAGAGUGGAACUUCUGGUGGAGCGGUGAAAUGCGUAGAUAUCAGAAGGAACGCCGGCGGCGAAAGCGGCUCUCUGGCCCAUAACUGACGCUGAGUGUGCGAAAGCUAGGGGAGCAAACGGGAUUAGAUACCCCGGUAGUCCUAGCCGUAAACGAUGGGCACUAAGUAGAGGGGUUUU